UACAGAGGUCCCAAGCGUUGUUCGGGUUCAUUGGGCGUAAAGGGUGUGUAGGUGGCGCCGUAAGUGGGGUGUGAAAUCUCGGGGCUUAACUCCGAAACUGCAUUCCAUACUGCGGUGCUUGAGGACUGGAGAGGAGACUGGAAUUCAUGGUGUAGCAGUGAAAUGCGUAGAGAUCAUGAGGAAGACCAGUGGCGAAGGCGGGUCUCUGGACAGUUCCUGACACUGAGACACGAAGGCCAGGGGAGCAAACGGG
rnacentral:rRNA from 1 species